UACGAAGGGUGCAAGCGUUACUCGGAAUUACUGGGCGUAAAGCGUGCGUAGGUGGUUUGUUAAGUCUGUUGUGAAAGCCCCGGGCUCAACCUGGGAAUGGCAAUGGAUACUGGCAGGCUAGAGUGCGGUAGAGGGUAGUGGAAUUCCCGGUGUAGCGGUGAAAUGCGCAGAUAUCAGGAAGAACACCCGUGGCUAAGGCGGCUCACUGGACCACAACUGACGCUGAGGCGCGAAAGCUAGGGAGCAAACAGG
rnacentral:rRNA from 1 species